rnacentral:rRNA from 1 species
CAGAGGAUGUUUCUGGCGCGGUGCCUUCCGAGUUCCCUGGAACGGGACGCCAUAGAGGGUGAGAGCCCCGUAUGGUUGGAUACUAAGCCUGUGUGAAACUCCUUCAACGAGUCGAGUAGUUUGGGAAUGCUGCUAAAAAUGGGAGGUAAAUCUCUUAUAAAGCUAAAUACCGGCCAGAGACCGAUAGCGCACAAGUAGAGUGAUCGAAAGAUGAAAAGCACCUUGAAAAGGGGGUUAAACAGUACGUGAAAUUGUUGAAAGGGAAGCGUUCAUGACCAGACUUGUGCUCAGUAGCUCAUCCGGGGUUCUCCCCGGUGCAUUCUACUGUGUUCAGGCCAGCAUCGAUUUUUGCUGGGGGAUAAGAACGGUAGGAACGUGGCCCUCCUUCGGGUGGGUGUUAUAGCCUACCGUACGAUACCCUGGGGGAGAUCGAGGUUCGCGGUUCUGCAAGGAUGCUGGCGUAAUGGUCAUCAACGACCCGUCUUGAAACACGGACCAAGGAGUCGUCCAUUAGAGCGAGCGUUUGGGUGUCAAACCCGCACGCGUAAUGAAAGUGAAAUUAGGUGAGAGCUUCGGCGCAUCAUCGACCGAUCCUGAUGUUCUCGGAUGGAUUUGAGUAAGAGUUUUAACGGACGGACCCGAAAGACAGUGAACUAUGCUUGUAUAGGGUGAAGCCAGAGGAAACUCUGGUGGAGGCUCGCAGCGGUUCUGACGUGCAAAUCGAUCGUCAAAUAUGAGCAUGGGGGCGAAAGACUAAUCGAAC